rnacentral:rRNA from 1 species
AGUGAACGCUGGCGGUAGGCCUAACACAUGCAAGUCGAACGGCAGCACAGUAAGAGCUUGCUCUUACGGGUGGCGAGUGGCGGACGGGUGAGGAAUACAUCGGAAUCUACUUUUUCGUGGGGGAUAACGUAGGGAAACUUACGCUAAUACCGCAUACGACCUACGGGUGAAAGCAGGGGAUCUUCGGACCUUGCGCGAUUGAAUGAGCCGAUGUCGGAUUAGCUAGUUGGCGGGGUAAAGGCCCACCAAGGCGACGAUCCGUAGCUGGUCUGAGAGGAUGAUCAGCCACACUGGAACUGAGACACGGUCCAGACUCCUACGGGAGGCAGCAGUAGGGAAUAUUCGGCAAUGGGCGAAAGCCUGAUCCAGCCACGCCGCGUGGGUGAAGAAGGCCUUCGGGUUGUAAAGCCCUUUUGUUGGGAAAGAAAAGCAGCAGGUUAAUACCCCGCUGUUCUGACGGUACCCAAAGAAUAAGCACCGGCUAACUUCGUG